CAGAGUGUAGCUCAGUAGCAGAGCACUUGCCUGGGAUGUAGGAGGCUUAGGUUCAAUCCUAGGACCAUGG
rnacentral:tRNA from 1 species